GGGGAAACAGAUUGGUGAUUAAUUUAGUCGUUAGCCCAUCUUCAAACAUCUUUUCACAAAUCCUAUUUUCUCUUUCUUUACCUGCCUUUGUCAUUCUUCUUUUCAAGCACAGAAUACGUGAUUCCUGGUUCAAGUGUGAAACUCUACCGAAAAGGAAAGAGAGUGAAAAAGUUUGAAAUUGCUGUCUCAAAUGAUACUGUCACCAUCAUAUUUAAAAAACAUAAACUGAGUGACAGUGGAAUAUACUAUCUUGCUUUGUGCCACAACAACAACGAGGACAGCGUGUUAUUGAAUUUGUCUUUCCAUAGAAUGAUAAAAGAGAAGAUCGAUUUCUACUCUCAUUUGCCAAAACCGAAAGGGGAAAAAUAUUGGAACUUCUUCGAGGAAAAAGGCAAAUUUUACGGAUAUCAAAAAAGAUUCAACCUUUAGGUUGCAAAUGAGGAAAUGCCAAAAAUAGUUUAAGAAGGCAUGCAGUCUAAGAAGAUGCUUGUAUUUAUGUUGAUGACUUAUAUUCUUAUUUAUUCUUAUUUAUUCUUUU
rnacentral:lncRNA from 1 species